UACGUAGGGUGCAAGCGUUGUCCGGAAUUAUUGGGCGUAAAGAGCUCGUAGGCGGUCUGUCGCGUCGGAUGUGAAAACCCAGGGCUCAACCCUGGGCCUGCAUUCGAUACGGGCAGACUAGAGUUCGGUAGGGGAGACUGGAAUUCCUGGUGUAGCGGUGGAAUGCGCAGAUAUCAGGAGGAACACCGAUGGCGAAGGCAGAUCUCUGGGACGUUACUGACGCUGAGACGCGAAAGCGUGGGGAGCAAACAGG
rnacentral:rRNA from 1 species